rnacentral:rRNA from 1 species
UACGGGGGGGGCAAGCGUUGUCCGGAAUUAUUGGGCGUAAAGCGCGCGCAGGCGGUCCUUUAAGUCUGAUGUGAAAGCCCACGGCUCAACCGUGGAGGGUCAUUGGAAACUGGGGGACUUGAGUGCAGAAGAGGAGAGUGGAAUUCCACGUGUAGCGGUGAAAUGCGCAGAUAUCAGGAGGAACACCUAGUUGCGAAGGCAGCUCGCUGGGACGUAACUGACGCUGAGACGCGAAAGCGUGGGGAGCAAACGGG